rnacentral:ncRNA from 1 species
UAUCUGGUUGAUCCUGCCAGUAGUCAUAUGCUUGUCUCAAAGAUUAAGCCAUGCAUGUCUAAGUAUAAGCAAUUUAUACAGUGAAACUGCGAAUGGCUCAUUAAAUCAGUUAUCGUUUAUUUGAUAGUUUCUUUACUACAUGGAAUACCUGUGGUAAUUCUAGAGCUAAUACAUGCUUAAAAUCCCAACUUACGAAGGGAUGUAUUUAUUAGAUAAAAAAUCAAUGUCUUCGGACUUCUGAUGAUUCAUAAUAACUUUUCGUAAUCGCAUGGCUUUAUGCUGGCGAUGGUUCAUUCAAAUUUCUGCCCUAUCAACUUUUGAUGGUAGGAUAGUGGCCUACCAUGGUUUCAACGGGUAACGGGGAAUAAGGGUUCGAUUCCGGAGAGGGAGCCUGAGAAACGGCUACCACAUCCAAGGAAGGCAGCAGGCGCGCAAAUUACCCAAUCCUAAUUCAGGGAGGUAGUGACAAUAAAUAACGAUACAGGGCUUUAUGUCUUGUAAUUGGAAUGAGUACAAUUUAAAUACCUUAACGAGGAACAAUUGGAGGGCAAGUCUGGUGCCAGCAGCCGCGGUAAUUCCAGCUCCAAUAGCGUAUAUUAAAGUUGUUGCAGUUAAAAAGCUCGUAGUUGAACUUUGGGCUUGGAGAAUCGGUCCAACUUUGUUGUGUACUGUCUUCUCCAGGUCUUUCCUUCUGGUUCUCAUUUGGGGUUUACUCCAUUUGUUGAUCCAGGAUUUUUACUUUGAAAAAAUUAGAGUGUUCAAAGCAGGCGUUUUGCUCGAAUAUAUUAGCAUGGAAUAAUAGAAUAGGACGAUUGGUUCUAUUUU